UACGGAGGGUGCAAGCAUUGAUCGGAAUUACUGGGCGUAAAGGGCGCGUAGGCGGUUCAAUAAGUCAGAUGUGAAAUUCCGGGGCUCAACCCCGGAGCUGCAUUUGAAACUAUCGAACUAGAGUUCAGUUAGGGUAAACGGAAUUCCACGUGUAGCGGUGAAAUGCGUAGAUAUGUGGAAGAACACCAGUGGUGAAGACGGUUUACUGGGCUGUAACUGACGCUGAGGCGCGAAAGCAUGGGGAGCAAACGGG
rnacentral:rRNA from 1 species